AUGCUCUGUUUUAAGGUUGAUGUAGUGCUUUAAGAGGCUAAUACAGAAGGGUAAAUUAAUUCUCCAUAAAGCCUAUGGAAGAGAUUGCAAAGCUCUUCUUUGGAUUCAGUCUGGAGUAAAAAAG
rfam:Erinaceus europaeus unplaced genomic scaffold scaffold00047, whole genome shotgun sequence